AUCAAAAAAUGAAAAUGGAAAUCAAAAUACUCCAAUAGCUACACACUAAGAAUCACAUAAGAAGAUGCCAAGUGAAAUGAACUCCACGUUAUGGAAACAAGAGUUAUACCACUGUUGUAAUUAUUUUCAACAUGCCAUGUGAACUAGUACUAUUUUUUCUCU